rnacentral:rRNA from 1 species
CUACGGGAGGCAGCAGUCGAGGAUCUUCGGCAAUGGGCGCAAGCCUGACCGAGCGACGCCGCGUGCGGGAUGAAGGCCUUCGGGUUGUAAACCGCUGUCAGAGGGGAUGAAAUGCCGGGAGGUUCUCCUUUCGGUUUGACAGAUCCUCAGAGGAAGGACGGGCUAAGUUCGUGCCAGCAGCCGCGGUAAGACGAACCGUCCAAACGUUAUUCGGAAUCACUGGGCUUAAAGGGUGCGUAGGCGGCGCGGAAAGUGGGGUGUGAAAUCCCUCGGCUCAACCGAGGAAUUGCGCUCCAAACUACCGUGCUUGAGGGAGACAGAGGUGAGUGGAACUUAGGGUGGAGCGGUGAAAUGCGUUGAUAUCCUAAGGAACACCAGUGGCGAAAGCGACUCACUGGGUCUCUUCUGACGCUGAGGCACGAAAGCUAGGGUAGCGAACGGGAUUAGAUACCCUUGUAGUCC